UCUGUCUGUCUGUCUGUCUAUCUACUGAUCCGUCCGUCCGUCUCUCUCUUUCUUUCUAAUAGGUCUUUACCAUUCCUUAGUCUGGUCUAUCUGUCUGUCUGUCUGUCUAUCUACUGAUCCGUCCGUCCGUCCAUCUCUUUCUUUCUAAUAGGUCUUUACCAUUCCUUAGUCUGGUCUAUCUAUCUGUCUAUCUACUGAUCCGUCCGUCCAUCUCUUUCUUUCUAAUAGGUCUUUACCAUUCCUUAGUCUGGUCUGUCUGUCCGUCCGUCCGUCCAUCUCUUUCUUUCUAAUAGGUCUUUACCAUUCCUUAGUCUGGUCUAUCUACUGAUCAGUCCGUCCGUCCAUCUCUUUCUUUCUAAUAGGUCUUUACCAUUCCUUAGUCUGGUCUAUCUGUCUGUCUAUCUACUGAUCAGUCCGUCCGUCCAUCUCUUUCUUUCUAAUAGGUCUUUACCAUUCCUUAGUCUGGUCUGUCUGUCCGUCCGUCCGUCCAUCUCUUUCUUUCUAAUAGGUCUUUACCAUUCCUUAGUCUGGUCUAUCUAUCUACUGAUAUCUGUCUAUCUAUCUGUCUAUCUACUGAUCCGUCCGUCCAUCUGUCUCUCUUUCUUUCUAAUAGGUCUUUACCAUUCCUUAGUCUGGUCCAACAUUCAACACAUAUCAUGAGCCUCUUCCAACAUGGAAUAUCACGACAGACGGUCUCUGACGGGAAUCAAAUCCCCAAGAGAUGAAAGACUGGUGUCACGUUGCAUCAAGGUAGAAGUUCAACCCCACACAGAUCUAGGAUCAGGCUCAACCGAACUUUAACAUUAGGAGAAUACAGAAUACAUAACAUAACAUGACUCCAGAUCAGAGGUUUUUAGUGAAGCAGCUUCUACCACCUCCACAGUGUGCCCGUCAUCCAUUAUCCCCAUCAAGAGGUAUCCCAGACUACAUCACCCAGAAUCCUCCGGGAGAAACUGUGCAGUGUUUCGAAUCUAUUUUAAUACACUCGGACACAAACUUUGAACAAAUGAUAAAAACAUACAUCUUUUUUUUUAAAUUAUUUUAUAUUCUUUUUAUCAACGAUGAACAAAAAAAUAAAUAAAAAAAUAAACAUUGUUUUUUAAAAUAUAUUGUUUGCCAAUUAUGCAUAGUAAUGAGCUUGCGAUGUUCAAUGUGUUGUUUUGCCACGAGGAGGACAGAGAGGGUAAAAACAGGAGAGAUGACUACACUCUUUUUUUUUUUUUUUUACAUGGAAAUGUCCGUUUGGCUGUUAAUAAUAAAGUAGUGGGUUUUUUUCUCUCCCAUUGGCAUUGAUGACAAGGGGGCUGUUCGGUGGAUAGCGUUGUACAGGGAAGCGUUUGUCUAUUGCCAAUGUAGUUUGUAUCUUGACGGUGAUUUAAAUGGUGAUUGAUGGACAUUGGUAAAUGGUUAAUAAGAGUAGUCUCACUUUGUUUUCUACCAAGUUCUUAUGAAAAAUGGAAUCAUUAAAUAAAUAAAAUUCAAGAACACAA